ACAGAAGUCCAAAUUUGGGUCUCUGAGAUGGGAUUUGGGUCAGAAAUCUUGAAAAUUGGGAUUUUUGUGAUGGGGUUUGGGUCAGAAAAGUCCAAAUUCGGGGUUUUUGUGUUUGGAUUUGGGCCAGAAAAGUCCAAAUUUGAGUCUCUGUGAUGGAAUACGAGUUGGAAAAAUCCAAACUUGGGGGUUUUGUGAUGGGAUUUGGGUCAGAAAAGUCCAAAUUCGGGAUUUUUAUGAUGGCAUUUGCGUCAGAAAAGUCCAGACUGGGGUCUGUGCGAUUGAUUUUGGGGUCAGAAACGUCCGAAUCGGGCACUUUGUGGUGGCUUUCCCCAAGUUCCCAAUUCGGGGCUGUGCUGCCCCCAUUGCUGCAGCACCGCUGCCCCCAAAAAGCCCCAAAACGACCCCAAAACGACCCCAAAAAGUCCCCAAACGUCCCCUUGCCGCCCCCCCCACCCCCCCAGCCGCGCUGCGGGGCCGCCUCUCUUCCCCUCUUCCCCCCCCCUCCCCCUUCAUUUUUGGGUUGGUUUCCUCCGUUUUCGCUGCUUUAUUUCUUUUUCCUAACCUGGUUUCUUCCAGUGCAACUGCAGAUAGAAGACCUGACCCGCAAACUGCGCACGGGAGACCUGGGCAUCCCCCCUAACCCUGAGGACAGGUCGGGAACCGCCCCUUUUUUGGGCUCA
ensembl:lncRNA